rnacentral:rRNA from 1 species
GAUGAACGCUAGCGGCAGGCCUAAUACAUGCAAGUCGAACGGUGUCUUCGGACAUAGUGGCGCACGGGUGCGUAACACGUAUGCAACCUACCUUACAUUGGGGGAUAGCCUUUCGAAAGGGCAAUUAAUACCGCAUAAGACAGUAGCUGGGCAUCCAGCAGCUGUUAAAGAUUUAUCGAUGUAAGCUGGGCAUGCGUCCAAUUAGCUAGUUGGGGAGGUAAUGGCUCACAAAGGCAAUGAUUGGUAGGGGAACUGAGAGGUCAAUCCCCCACACUGGCACGGAGAUACGGGCCAGACUCCUACGGGAGGCAGCAGUAGGGAAUAUUGGGCAAUGGACGCAAGUCUGACCCAGCCAUGCCGCGUGCAGGAUGAAGGCGUUAUGCGUUGUAAACUGCUUUUAUACAGGAAGAAACGACUCUUGCGAGAGGCAUUGACGGUACUGUAUGAAUAAGCACCGGCUAACUCCGUGCCAGCAGCCGCAGUAAGAC